UACGGAGGGGACUAGCGUUGUUCGGAAUUACUGGGCGUAAAGCGCACGUAGGUGGAUUUGUAAGUCAGGGGUGAAAUCCCGGGGCUCAACCUCGGAACUGCCUUUGAUACUGGCAAUCUAGAGACUGGAAGAGGUUAGUGGAAUUCCCAGUGUAGAGGUGAAAUUCGUAGAUAUUGGGAAGAACACCAGUGGCGAAGGCGGCUAACUGGUCCAGUACUGACGCUGAGGUGCGAAAGCGUGGGGAGCAAACAGG
rnacentral:rRNA from 1 species